GUUGAUGGUUUAUAUAAAAUUUUAAUUUUGGAUAUUAAAGAAGCAGAUGUGUUUAACUGAAU
rnacentral:tRNA from 1 species